GAUGAACGCUGGCGGCGUGCCUAACACAUGCAAGUCGAACGGACGAGGAGGAGCUUGCUUCUCCAAGUCAGUGGCGGACGGGUGAGUAACGCGUGAGUAACCUGCCCUUCAGAGGGGGAUAACGUCUGGAAACGGACGCUAAUACCGCAUGACAUAUUUCCAUCGCAUGGUGGAGAUAUCAAAGGAGCAAUCCGCUGAAGGAUGGACUCGCGUCCGAUUAGAUAGUUGGCGGGGUAACGGCCCACCAAGUCGACGAUCGGUAGCCGGACUGAGAGGUUGAACGGCCACAUUGGGACUGAGACACGGCCCACACUCCUACGGGAGGCAGCAGUGGGGGAUAUUGCACAAUGGGCGAAAGCCUGAUGCACCAACGCCGCGUGAGGGAAGACGGUUUUCGGAUUGUAAACCUCUGUUCUAAGUGACGAACAAAUGACGGUAGCUUAGGAGAAAGCCCCGGCUAACUACGUGCCAGCAGCCGCGGUAAUACGUAGGGGGCAAGCGUUGUCCGGAAUUACUUGGUGUAAAGGGAGCG
rnacentral:rRNA from 1 species